CCCUCGUCCGAUCCCCAACCUCCCCCCGAUCCCGUCGCCGCUGCUGCCUACCCCGCCUCCUACCGGUGCGCCACCACUCCCGUCUCCUUCCGGCGCGCCGUCAUCGCCGCCUCCUACCGGCGCCGCCGGACCCUCCUUCUUCCCUGGCCACCCCGCUGCCCCCGCCAUCUUCCCGAGCGCGCCGCUGCCGCCGUCUUCCCCAGAGCGCCACCGCCCCGCCACCCCCGCCCACGGGACCAGUGGUCCCAUCGCCGGUCUCCCCCCACCUAGAUCUACCGGAGGCGCACCGGAUCCUGCCUCACGGCCGGUUCCCGCGACUCGGCCGUCGCCCCAACCGCUGCAGCAGCCGAGAAGCCAUGGAGGAGCUCACCCCUGCCUUCUCCACGGAUCUGGUUGAUCUGAAGGCGGGCGGCGAGGCGGGGCUCGCCGAGCGAGGUAUCCAGGCAGGGGUCGCCGGUGACGACGAGGAAGGCCGGAGCGAGGGAUCUAGCGACCUAGGCAGGAGCUCGCCAGACCUGAGUGACGGCGGACGGGCGUGUGAGACGGAGGGAUCUGGUGCGGCGGCGUGAAUUCCUUGCAGGUAGAGGCGGGUCUCCAUGGCUGGCAGGGAGAGCUCCAAGCCAUGGCGGGGCUUUAGUUUUCCCUGGUAGAAAAGAGAGAAAGAGGAAGAUUCAGGGAGGAGGAGAGGUAGGGAGAAGAAGGUGCAGGUGCGAGCUUGGGGAAGAGGGAGCCUAACAUCAAGUGCUUAGGGAACAUGUGCAUACAUCCUUGCUCCUUUUCUUCUUUCAGUUUUAGGUACUUUCCAGUAGGCGUGUACAUCCUUGUGCCUUCUCUUCUUUCGAUUUUAGCUACUCUCUAGUAUUCAAUUUGCAUGUAGAACAAAAUCUGUCAGCAGUUCUCAAGUAAAUGAACCGUAGAGAAUCAGCUAGAUAUUUUACUACUGUAAGUUGUGGAGUACUGAGAAUGGCAUUUAUAUUGCUGCAAAUGCAAUAUAUGAUUAAUGCAGCAGAGAGGAUGCCGCAAGGGGAGAGGAAUGGUGCAGUGAGAUUGAGGAAGACAUGACACAUCGGGACCCGGGAGCUCGAGAAGAGGCUCAAUCGAUCUCGACAAGAAGUGAUCUCCCCUUGGUGACAGUACUAGAUGGCCUCUCUAGGCUCCUUUCAUAGACCUGGGUAUGUGUAUAUAUUUCAUUUCUUCAACGGUUUAUUGAUGCACGAGUAAGCUUGCAAAGCGACCUGGGUAUGUGGAUAGAUUUCACUUCUUCAACGGUUCAUUGAUGCACGAGUAAGCUUGCGACCUGGGUAUGUGGAUAGAUUUCACUUCUUCAACGGUUCAUUGAUGCACGAGUAAGCUUGCAAAGCGGCAUCCUGCUUAUCUAGCUUUCCGUCCACUGUUGUCCAUGCAACUGGUAAUGACUGUGCAGCAGCCAAGCUUUAAUUUUUUUUCAUACAUCCGGCCUCUAAUCCCUGGCUAUUAAUUAUAUAUUUAAGCAAACACAAGAUGACGAGACAUCAUUUAAUUUUAAGAGAAUCAAUAAAUUAUUGAAACUGAAGUGGUCAUAUAUAUGAUGGUUUGAUCUGUAGGCCUUUUAUGUUUUUUUUCAGAAGCAGAAAAGAUAGAAGAAUCUCAUCUCCUUCUGGCGGAACGGCAGAGGGCUUGGCUGCUACCAGGGUGAUCCAAAGGGUGUAUCUAGGUAGCAUGUUUGUGGCCUCUUGCACUAACAUGAUUAAUGGUAGCUUCUAUUCCAUGACAUGAUUUUUGCAGCUGAGAUUUCAACUAUAUAACAGCAGUGAUAAAACACGCGGUUUCCCUUGCUAUUCAUGAUCACUUGAACUAGCUUAUCUUAUAAUAAUAUUUCUAUCUUGCACCAUGAGUGUUGUUCAGUGGCAAUAUUCGCUCCGCCGAAGGUAAUCCUGAUAUAAGUAUCUAGGGAGAACAUGAGGCUUCUCAGAGCUCAGCGACUGUCGACCGUCGGAUCGUUUACUGGAUGCGUUUAGGACCGCCGGAUCUCGCUCGUGGAAGACCUGGGCCGUUGGAUCGAAAAAAGUUACUGCUACAAUGAAUAGUUACCGUCUCGUUCAUGCCACCGCGUGUAAAUAGCCAGCCCCGCCGGGGGCAUUUUCGUCAUUUCACUCACAGGGAUAUAAAAGCCAGCCACUCCUGUGGAGACGACCUAGCCGCUGCCUUCCUCCUCCCGCACCCGCCGCGCCUCCCUCUCCUCUUCCUCUCCCCCUAGCGCCGCCGCACCCGCGCCUCCCUCUCCCCCUAGCGUCGCCCGCACCCGCACCUCCCUCUGCUCCUCUCGCCCCUAGCGCCGCCAUCACUGCCUCCUUCACCGUCGCCGCCCGGCCUCCUCCCCUCAUGUUCUCCUCCUUCCACCCUUCCGAUCUGGCGCCGCCCAAACCCUAACGGCCCGGCCCGGCCCCGGCUCCCACAGGAGGGAAGGAGGAAUGGUGAGGCGAGGCAAAGGCGGCGGCGUAUGACACGCGGCGCGGGCGGCGUGGCCCAGGGGGUCGGCGCGGCGGCGGCUUCUCGUCGUCUCCGCCGUCGCCUCAGCGCUGCUCCUCCUCGCCUUCCACCUCUGGUUCCGGAUCUGACCCUGCAUGUCGACUGCCAUUUGCUCGGUUUGCCACCAUGUGGAAGGACGACCUGCUUAGCCUGCUACUCGACUCCCUAGCAGCAGCUGAGGAGAGGUUCCAUGGGAACAAGCACCCAUGGUUGCUGCCUUCGUUAGCACCGUUCCUUUACUGCGGCCCUUUAGAUCCUUUGCUGAUCCAGCUCACAGAAGGGGCGUAUGGCGGCGAGGAAGCGGCGGCGCGCGCCUACGACCUGAGGGCAUUGAAGUACUGGGGCCACGACACCAUCCUCGACUUCCUAGUACCGCUUCCAAGCUACUCCUCAGUGUGUUGCUGUCUAGCUACGACCAAGAGUUGAAGGAAAUGGAGGAGCAAUCCAGGGAAGAGUACAUCGGUUCGCUCCGGAGGAAAAGCACAUGCUUCUGAAGAGGGGGUGUCCAAGUACAGAGGAGUUGCAAGGUAAGCGCCGCCAUAAACGCCAACGUGCCAAAAAGACAAGGGGCCGAGUUCCAUGUAGCGAACCAUGUCUUUGUGAGAGGACCGUAACAAGAGGUUCAUGUGACGUGCCAUGUGAGAAGUUGAACGACAAGACAGUCAAGUGAAGUUAUCAAAUAGUAUGCUUUAGUUGAACUGUAUAGGUUCCUUAUCUCUCACUGGCGCUCUGGCUUGAUUUUGUUGUCUAACUCUACUCUCUGUAUCUAACUUAAUGUGAAUUGAUCGUCUUGCCUUAGCUUUGGAACAAAGAAAUGUUUCCCUUUUAUUAUGAGCCUCCAGGUCAUUUGUUCUACUGAUUAAAUAUUUCCUACUCACCUUGCUUUUGGUAUACCCAACAUUGUUCUUGAUUUACUUUUGGAACAAAAUAUAUGUUUCUCCUUAUUCA